rnacentral:lncRNA from 10 species
UUUUUUGUUUGUUUGCUUUUUGAGACAGUCUCACUCUGUUGCCCAGGCUGGAGUGCAGUGGCACCAUCUCGGCUCACUGCAAGCUCUGUUGCCCGGGUUCAAGAGAUUCUCCCACCUCAGCCUCCCAAGUAGCUGGGAUUACAGGCGUGCGCUACCACAUCCGGCUAAUUUUUGUAUUUUUAGUAGAGAUGGAGUUUCACUGUGUUGCCCAGGCUGGUCUCAAACUCCUGACCUCAAGUGAUCCGCCCACCUCGGCCUCCCAAAGUGCUGGGAUUUCAGGUGUGAGCCACUGCGCCUGGCCCCUUCUCUGUGUUUUAAAGGCAUUUAAGUAUAAAUUAUUAAACUGCAGGACAGAACAUAUUAGCUGACGGUCAUAUGAGUGACCUUCUCUAAAUGCCAGGAGGAUAGAAUCCACUUUUCCUUUAUCAACAUUUUCCUUGCUCAACUUCUGGCAUAUUAGGUACUCAACAAAUAUGUGCUGAACCAAAAUGAACAAAAAAAUGCUGUCAUCAAAGUAACUCCCAUCCACUCAAGUAGGCUGCAACUUCAAACUGCCCAAACUGGCAAAUCUCUAAUAAAGAUGGGCUCAGAAGACAUACCAGCAUGAAUAACCUUCUGAGGAAAAGACAACAUGGAUUCUAAAAGUGGAAAUCACACCACACCAGUUCACCCAAAUUCUCUGAGAAAAUAAAUAUGUGAAUAUAAUUUAUGUGAGCUUUCACAAAACUCUUGAUAAGAUUCUAAGUAAAGAUUUUUUUUUUUGAGGCUGAGUCUCGCUCUGUCGCCCAGGCUGGAGUGCAGUGGCGCGAUCUCGGCUCACUGCAAGCUCCACCUCCCGGGUUCACGCCAUUCUCCUGCCUCAGCCUCCCGAGUAGCUGGGACUACAGGCGCCCACCACCACGCCCCGCUAAUUUUGUUUUUUUGUAUUUUUAGUAGAGACGGGGCUUCACCGUGUUAGCCAGGAUGGUCUCAAUCUCCUGAUCUCGUGAUCCACCUGCCUCAGCCUCCCAAAGCACUGGGAUUACAGGAGUGAGCCACCACACCCGGCCCUAAAGAUUAUUUUUUUAAAGACCUGAGUGGCCACAGAAUGAGUACAUUUACUGUAGACUGGACAUAAUUGAGACACAGAUAAUUAUGGGUAGAUGCUGAGGUACUUCCCCAAAUGAAGAAGUAUAAACAGAAGAUUGAUAAUUUUUUAGAAAUGCUCCUCAGAAACUGCACAGGGUGAGAGGAGAAAGGGUCAAGGGAAGGCAAAUACUAAUGUUUUUAGGAGCAAAAGAGGAAAUAAGUCUGCAGAGGAAACCAAGAGUAUGAGCCGGGCUCGGUGACUCACGGCUGUAAUCCUAGCACUUUGGGAGGCCAAGGCGGGCAGAUCACGUGAGGUCAGGAGUUCGAGACCAGCCUGGCCAACAUGAUGAAAGCCCGUCUCUACUAAAAAUACAAAAAUUAGCCACGUGUGGUGGCAGGUGCCUGUAAUCCCAGCUACUGGGGAAGCUGAGGCAGGAGAAUCGCUUGAACCCAGGAGGCGGAGGUUGCAGUGAGCCGAGAUCGCGCCACUGCACUCCAACCUGGACGAAAGAGCAAGACUCCGUCUCAAAAAAAAAGUUUCAAAGAUAAAACAAAAAUCUUGUUAAGAAUACAUGAGACGCUAAAGAAAUAAUCUACUUUAAUUCAUGCUAUCAAUUUUCAUUUCCUAUGUGUAGGUGUUGAGGGUCUAGUACCCAUGAUAAAUGACAUACACCUGUUCUGGGCUGACUUUUGUUCCCUAAAAGAGAUAGGUAGUACUCCAGGGGGCUGGGCACAGUGGCGCAUGCCUGUAAUCCCAGCACUUUGGGAGGCCAAGGCCACAGGAUCACUUGAGCUCAGGAGUUCAAGAUCAGCCCGGGCAACAUGGCAAGACCCCGUCUCUACUAAAAAUACACAAAAAUAGCCAGGUGUGGUAGUGCGCACCUGUAGUCCCAGCUACUCGAGAAGCUGAGGUGGGAGGAUUGCUUGAGCCCGGGGAUGAGGGGGCUGGAGGUUGCAGUGAUCCAAGUGCCACCGCACUCCAGCCUGGAUGACAGAGGAAGACCCCGUCUCAAAAAAAAAAAGAAAAAGAAAAAAAAAGGAGAUAUGUAGUACUCCUAACAUUCAGUACCUCAGAAUGGGAUCUUAGAGACAGGAUCUUCAGGCCAGGUGGCUUCCCUUCCUCUCUGCGUCGGUCCGUCCCACCUCGGCUCGGCCUGGCGACCCUAACUCCGCUCCGCGCCCCCGCCCGCGGCCCAGGUCUGCAAGUGG